UACGGCCACAUUAUGUUGAAACACGAGUUCCUGUACAAUCACCAAUCUUAAGCAAUGUUGAGCCUGAUCAGUAACUAGAUGGGUGACCACUUGGGAAUACCAAGUGUUGUAAG